ACUGCCCCCAGAGGUGUUGCAGGUGGGGCUGCUGUGUCACAAUUUUUGUCAUUUGGUGGCAUACACUCAGCGUUCUGCCUGGGAUUUGGAUGACUGACAGUCUGACA